rnacentral:rRNA from 1 species
GACGAACGCUGGCGGCGUGCUUAACACAUGCAAGUCGAAGCGGUAAGGCCCUUUCGGGGGUACACGAGCGGCGAACGGGUGAGUAACACGUGGGUGACCUGCCCUCAGCUCUGGGAUAAGCCCGGGAAACUGGGUCUAAUACCGGAUAUGACUCCAUGACGCAUGUUGUGGGGUGGAAAGCCUUGUGCGGCUGAGGAUGGGCCCGCGGCCUAUCAGCUUGUUGGUGGGGUGAUGGCCACCAAGGCGACGACGGGUAGCCGGCCUGAGAGGGCGACCGGCCACACUGGGACUGAGAUACGGCCCAGACUCCUACGGGAGGCAGCAGUGGGGAAUCUUGCGCAAUGGGCGAAAGCCUGAACGCAGCGACGCCGCGUGAGGGAUGACGGCCU